GUGAGGGUGGGUGUUCCGGCAACAGUCCAAUCAUCUCCAGCUCUUCGCCGAAGCUUGAGGUUUUUCUCACAUAAUGGGGGCCCAACUGUAACGCAGGGUUAAGGGCUGCCAUUCGCACUGAAGGCUCCGGGCUUCUCACCGGACUCGUUUCCUACCACGACAACCUGCAACCGUGACCGUGACUCCGUGAGGCCCUUCCGCGUUUCCGCCCAAAACACAAACUUUGCAGUGAGCCGGAUACGGGAUAUAAUGGCGGCGGCGGCGGCGGCGGUUGGCGCGGGGAAGCUGGGAGCGGGAGGUGAUGCAGUGGCGGUGGAGGUUCGCCUGCCGCCUUUGUCAGAGGCGGAUCCCCUUCUCGCAGAGAAGAAGAUGAUAUUGGAAAAAAGGAACCUAUCUUGUGAGAUUCAGAUUCCUGUUGCAUGUUCUGCUGUCGAUGCCCUCAAAUUACUGGAUCACAUUAUUGAAGCUGCUAGAGUAGUGUACAUGGACGAGCUAGAACUUUAUUUUGCAGGAGAUGAUGUCGGUCCAUUCUCUGCGAGGAAUGAACUUGAAUCUCUAAAUCUUUUGUUGAAAACAAUGAAAAAAUUGCUUCUAACUUCCAACACGGCUGCCAAGGAAGUACUGCAGAUACUACAUGAUGAGAUAGUUGUUAAGCUCAAAUCUGUUGGAAAGUCUGACAAUGCUUGGAUGGUUGUUCAAACACAGAACCAUGAUGCUGAGGAUUCUCUUCUGAAAUGGGGGGAGCAUCUUGGUAUUAAAUCUAGAUUGCAGAUAGCCUAUUUUCAGGGAGCUGGAAGAGGAAUGAUAGCUUCUGAAAGUAUAGGUGUGGGGGAUAUUGCUCUUGAAAUUCCAGAGUCCCUCAUUAUAUCUGAUGAACUUCUUUGUCAAUCUGAAGUGUUUCUUUCAUUAAAAGAUUUUAAUAACAUCACAUCUGAGACUAUGUUAUUAUUGUGGAGCAUGAGAGAGCGGUAUAAUCUAGGUUCAAAGUUUAAACCAUAUUUUGAUACGCUCCCGGCAAAUUUUAAUACAGGUUUGAGUUUUGGAAUCGAUGCACUUGCUGCAUUAGAAGGAACCCUUCUUUUUGAUGAGAUAAUACAGGCUAGGCAGCACUUGCGCCAGCAGUAUGAUGAAUUAUUUCCCUUGCUAUGCACAAAUUUCCCUGAGAUAUUCCGGAAGGAUGUGUGCACAUGGGACGAUUUUCUGUGGGCAUGUGAACUAUGGUAUUCGAACAGUAUGAUGAUUGUUCUAAGCAGUGGGAAAUUAUCGACUUGCCUGGUUCCUGUCGCUGGACUUCUGAACCACUCGGUAUCCCCUCAUAUCUUGAACUAUGGUCGAGUAGAUGAAGCUACAAAAUCGUUGAAGUUUCCCUUGUCUCGACCCUGUGAUGCAGGGGAGCAAUGCUUUCUCAGUUAUGGGAAACAUCCAGGGUCGCAUCUUCUUACGUUCUAUGGAUUCCUACCAAGAGGAGACAACCCUUAUGAUGUUAUACCUUUAGAUCUUGACACAUCCGCGGAUGACGAGGACAUCACAGCUCAGUCUUCGGCGACUACAAGCCAAACAACUCAUAUGGUUCGUGGGACAUGGCUGUCGACAUCCGGAGGAUUCCCCACGUAUGGCCUGCCCCAGCCCUUGCUGACCUAUCUCCGUGCUGCUCUAGGCUGUGAGGUAGACGAACCCGCUGCAGAGGCUGAUGUAAGGGUGCUGUGAUGUUCCCAUGAAUCACGAUGAAGGAAAGCGACAAGGUGGUGCUGGAGACAAUCCUGUCCAUAUUCAGUCCCAUGCUUGAAGCGUUGUUGCCUGAGCAAGAUGAUCCCAACCGGGAGAGCGCCAGUUGGGAUGUGAAGCUUGCAUCGGACUACAAAGACCUGCAGAGGAAGAUAGUAUCGUCCAUCGUCACUUCCUGUACCUCAGCCUUGGAAAAUCUGUAGCUCUUGCUGGAUGGAAGUGCUUCACUGAUGAAUUGCAAGAGCACACGCCCUGGGGGCCCUGUUGGAAUGCCUCUGCUGGCGUGUAGAUGGCCAAGCUAUUGCAGCAACUGCAAUCUGUGACCAUCUCUACAAACCGAAGCUGCUCGUCGUGAGUUGCUUCAUCCGAGGAAUGCGGAGACACGGGGUCGUGCUCCCGAGGCUGGCUUGUGUGAUUUUAUCCGCACCUGAUUGUUACCGCAUACUGUAGUUGCGUUUGGUGAAAGAAAGCUACUUUUGAGCUAGUUCAUUGGGAGCCAAACUUGCUUUUUGGUGAACGAAAGCUACUUUGGAACUAAUUUCGUCGCAAUGUGGUUGUGGUCCAUGUGCUCCUGAAAUCGCUAUAGCAACACUAGAUUCGAAAUA